rfam:Ixodes scapularis strain Wikel colony gcontig_1108379167206, whole genome shotgun sequence.
GGCCCGUUGGUCUAGUGGUAUAAUUCUCGCUUUGGGUGCGAGAGAGGUCCCGGGUUCAAAUCCCGGACGGGCCC